AUCAGGCAAGAGGUUACAAUUCUAAUCCCAUCUUGCCUACCUUUAUGCACUUGAACAUUUGGGUCAUUGAUAUUUUUGCUGAUAGCCAUAGUGCAAGGGGAUUAAUUGAAAUUUUCUUGUUCAGAAGGUCAUUAAAUUUCCCUCAUAUUCUUGAUUCUUUCCUUAGGUGGAAGAGUUGAUGUUAGUAACCUGGAAAACGUUUUGGAAAAUGUGAAAAUCAUGCUUCCAGAUAAGGAACUUAAAGAUUUGUCACAAAACCUACCAGUUGAUGCUUCUGGGAUGACUGAUCUGCAUAAACUACUAAAAGAAGUAAAUAAAUUCACAGGAGGAAAAAUUCAAGCCAAGGACAUACAAAAAGUACUGAGAGACAUGGGAAUAGAGCUCACAAAUAGGGAACUCUGGAAUCUGAUGAAAAUGUUGCCAAUUACUGGUAGGCAUUUUAUGCACUACUAUGAUAUAUAUUUCUAUGCUAGUGUGGACUUAAAUGUGAGAAUAUCAUAAAAAUGGGCCCCUCUGAUUUCCUAUAAAAAGAAAGAGUCCGGGCAUGGUGGUAAUCCCAGCACUCUGGGAGGCCAAGGCGGGCAGAUUACCUGAUGCCAGGAGUUUGAGACCAACCUGGCCAACAUGGUGAAACCCCGUCCCUACUAAAAAUUACAAAAAUUAGCCAGGCAUGGUGGUGUGUGCCUGUAAUCCCAGUUACUCAGGAGGCUGAGGCAGGAGAGUCGCUUCAACCACAGAGGCAGAGGUUGCAGUGAGCCGAGAUCGUGCCACUGCACUCCAGCCUGCACAAUGCAGUGAGACGUCAUCAAAAAAAAAGAAAAAGAUUAACCUCUGGUUGUAAAUAUAUUAUGCAUUUGACAUUUAAAUUUUUAGUUUUGAGAGGCUGUCAUAUCUUCAAACCUGAGUCCUGCCAUUAAGAGUAUCAUUACCCCGAGAUUAAAUAAAGCUUAAGGAGGCCAAAGAGAAAAGAAAGCUGAAUUAGUUAGUAGCAGAGAGAAGGAAAAGGGAAAAAGCAGAGUGGGGAAAAGGCACAUCUGUUUCAGUGUAUAAGAAUGAAUGGACUGUCCACAUUAAGAAUUUUAUUCUCAUCUUAUUUUUGGACUUAGUUAUGAAGAGGUGUGGCUGUAGGAAAUGUAGGAAUGCAAAUUAAGAAAGUACUUUUUUAAAAUCUGCAUUUAAAAAUUGCAGCUGGGCAUGGUGGCUCACACCUGUAAUCCCAGCACUUUCGGAGGCCAAGGUGGGUGAUCACCUGAGGUCAGGAGUUCGAGACUAGCCUGGCCAACAUGGCAAAACCCCAUCUCUACUAAAAAUACAAAAAUUAGCUGGGCAUGGUAGCGCAUGCCUAUAAUCCCAGCUACUUAGGAGGCUGAGGUGGAAGAAUCGCUUGAACCUGAGAGGCAGAGUAAGCUGAGAUUGCGCCACUGCACUCUAGCCUGGGCAACAGAGUGAGAUUCCAUCUCUUUCUCUCUCUCUCUCUCUCUCUCUCUCUCUGUCUCUCUCUCUCUAUAUAUAUGUAUGUGUGUGUGUGUAUAUAUAUAUAUAUGUUCUUUCUACUCUUUUUUUGACUGUCUCUGUAAUUUUUUCUUUGAUCUUAACUGUGCCUUAUUUUACAGAUGACGGAAAGGUAUAUAAAAAUAUAUUGCUUGAUAAUAUAAAAUCAUUUCCUGGUAAGUAAAAAACCCAAUAAGGCAAGUAAAACUAUGACUUGUAAGCUUUACCUUAACUAUUAAAAGACCUUAUCAUUAGAUAACAAUUAGAUUAUCUAUUUUAUUGUCACAUUAGCCUAUAGGUCUUAGAUACAACUAUAUUUAAUGUGAUAAUUUAUACUUUGCAAAAGUUUUAAAUUCUAUUGCUGUCCAGAGCUCUAAUUCUUAUCUAACAUAAUUCAUCAAGUUCAUUUAAAAAAAACAUAUGUAAUUUAUAAUGUAAAAAAGUAGUACAUAUAAUUAGUAUAUAAUAAAAUUAUAUAUUAUGUAAUAUAUAGUUGUCUUCUAAAUACACCUUUUUUCCAAAGUAUGGAAAGCUUCCCCUGAAACAACAGUGGCAAAACAUAUUAUAUUCCUGGCUUCCACAGUAAGGCUUUAUUUAUGUAGCCCUGAACAGUUUUUUAAAAAAAUUAUUACUGGCAAUGGAUUUGUUCUAUUUGAUUUUUUUUGGUGACUGAAUAUAACCAGUAUUUUUCUUAGCUAUCAGUUCCUAUAUUUUAUCACUUCCUUCUUUCCUAAGGUGGGAAGUGCAAUGUCUCUAAAAUUGGUACUAUCCUGGAAAACAUGGGUUAUGAGCUGGAAGAUGAGGAAAUUGAAUACCUGCAGAACCACCUGCCAACUACUGGUGAGCAUGUCAUUGUAUCUUCAAGGAAACUCUGAGAUCCUGUAAUAAAAUUUCAAAAUGUAUUCAUCUAAAAAAAAUCUAUUAUCUCAGACUUUUUGCUUGGUAGAUCUUCCUGCAUCCCUUUAUUUUGAGCCUAUGUGUGUCUCUGCAUGUGAGAUGGGUCUCCUGAAUACAGCACACUGAUGGGUCUUGACUCUUUAUCCAAUUUGCCAGUCUGUGUCUUUUAAUUGGGGUAUUUAGCCCGUUUACAUUUAAGGUUAAUAUUGUUAUGUGUGAAUUUGAUCCUGUCAUUAUGAUGUUAGCUGGUUAUUUUGUCCAUUAAUUGAUGCAGUUUCUUCAUAGCAUCGAUGGUCUUUACAAUUUGGCACGUUUUUACAGUGGCUGGUACUGGUUGUUCCUUUCCAGCAUGUUGUUUUGAUCAUAUAAAAAGUCUAGUUUUUAAAAUCCUAUGAAAAAGAAAUAGAAAAUGCAUCCUUCUCUCUGGUAAGCAACACAGUGGCUUUCCUUAGUAUUAUAGUGUAUUGUGUGGGUCUGAGAUUGUGAAUGAUAUGUUGAAUUAAAAGCCAAUUAUCUAAGAUCCUUACUGUACUAUAAAAAUGUAUUACCGCUAUCUCUCUUCUUUCUGAUCCAAAGCACACAGAUUCAGAAUUUUAUGUAUAGUCUUGCUUUAUUUAAUAUGUCUUUUUACUAGAAAUAUUUGCUAAUAUAAAUCAGGUCAGUCUUACCCACUUGAACAGAUAUUUUGCAAGACUAUUUGCACAAAAUAAUAUUAAUUUAAUUAAUAAGAACACAGAAUUGCAUACUAAUUAAGUAGGUAAUACAGGAAACUGGCCAAUCCUCUUUCUCUUAUUCUCAUGCUGUCAUAUUCCUGGUAAUAUAAACUAAUCACCUCUAUUGAAAUAGCCACAGACAAUAAUUAUCAAGUAUUAACUGCCUACUAUAUACCAAAAACAAUAAUCAGUACUUGACAUAUGUUAAUAGUCCUCAAAAUAACUGCAAAGUAGAUUAUCAUCCUAAUGUAUCUGAUGUGGAAAUGGAAAAUCAGUCACAAAGGUUAAUUGAUUUGCCUGAGGCCAUGUGGCCACUAAAUGGAAAAGUAAAGAUGGCAAUUCAGAUCUAUAUAACUUGAAAGGUUUGCCCUUUCUACCAAAUCAUACUGUCUCACAUAAGAGAGGUAAGCAGAGCCACACAGAUUAUGAUAGGAAUGAUUCUUUAAGGAGGUUGUGUGAUGUGGCCCUUAAGAUGAGAAUUAUCAACUAGUGAGUACACAAAUUAAAUGAGAGUCAGCAAAGAUUGGAAAUCUUUGUGGCCAGGGAGUCAGAAGCAUGGAGAAAGGGCUGAGUAACAGUUGCAUGUAGAAGUAGCCAUGAUCCUUUAGGUAGGUAAAUACACCAAUAUUAUAGAAUAUAUUUCUUUUAAAUCCUGUAAUAAUAAAGUGGUCAAACAUAGGGUUAUUCCUGGAUUCUAAAGUGGGACAGGCCAAGUGGAAAGGAAGUCAAAGCAAUGCUUUCAAAAUUUCCUAGAACCAUUGUGUAUAGAAUUUUAUAUACUUUAAUUUCUUCUUCUGUGCUAUAUAGUUAUCAUAUUUGGAACUUCAUUCUUCACUACCAUGAUCAUCUGGGCAUGAAAAUGAAUACAUUUAUAGAACAAAUCAGGGCAAACUUCUGAAUGUUAAUGUUGUAUUCUACAAUGUAAGGUGUUAAUAGCAUAUUUUCUGGGUCUGAGUCAUUAUGGCUGGUCUCAUUUGUACCUUAUCUUACAGAUGAAAAGAAGGUUAAACUGAAUAAGGUCAUGGAAAAUGUAGAGUCAUUUACAGGUGAGUGAAAAAUUAUAGGUAGGCCGGGCACAGUGGCUCACGCCUAUAAUUCCAGCACUUUGGGAGGCCGAGGCAGAUG
rnacentral:lncRNA from 1 species